ACGGGUUCGGCAGGCGGAGGAAG
rnacentral:snRNA from 1 species